UACGUAGGGGGCAAGCGUUGUCCGGAUUUAUUGGGCGUAAAGAGCUCGUAGGCGGUUCGGCAAGUCGAAUGUGAAAUCUCCACGCUCAACGUGGAGGGGUCAUUCGAUACUGCUGUGACUCGAGUCCGGUAGGGGAGUGUGGAAUUCCCGGUGUAGCGGUGAAAUGCGCAGAGAUCGGGAGGAACACCCGUAGCGAAGGCGGCACUCUGGGCCGGUACUGACGCUGAGGAGCGAAAGCGUGGGGAGCAAACAGG
rnacentral:rRNA from 1 species